rnacentral:snRNA from 1 species
GGAUGAGAGGACAAUCUGGCAGUGACAUCUGUCACCCCACUUGAUUGUGAGGUUUAAUUUAGCUGAUUCGGGCUAGCAGGUGAGUAGGCCCUUCCUCCUUCACUGCUUCAUAUGCAUCCCUCCCAAAGCUUCAUACUCUGUCAAAGAGGACAACCCUUCCUGAUCAAGGUGGACUGUUUUCCAGUCAAGGGCAUUCAAGUAGCUGUAUUUCCCUGUUAGAACCUCCAAGAAAACUCACAAGGCCCAUAUAUGUACAUAUUUUUUCUUUACUUCUGU